UACGAAGGGUGCAAGCGUUAAUCGGAAUUACUGGGCGUAAAGCGCGCGUAGGUGGGUCAGUAAGUUGGAAGUGAAAUCCCCGGGCUCAACCUGGGAACUGCUUUCAAAACUGCUGAGCUAGAGUACGGUAGAGGGUGGUGGAAUUUCCUGUGUAGCGGUGAAAUGCGUAGAUAUAGGAAGGAACACCAGUGGCGAAGGCGACCACCUGGACUGAUACUGACACUGAGGUGCGAAAGCGUGGGGAGCAAACAGG
rnacentral:rRNA from 1 species